AUACGGAGGAUCCGAGCGUUAUCCGGAUUUAUUGGGUUUAAAGGGAGCGUAGGUGGACAGUUAAGUCAGUUGUGAAAGUUUGCGGCUCAACCGUAAAAUUGCAGUUGAUACUGGCUGUCUUGAGUACAGUAGAGGUGGGCGGAAUUCGUGGUGUAGGGGUGAAAUGCUUAGAUAUCACGAAGAACUCCGAUUGCGAAGGCAGCUCACUGGACUGCAACUGACACUGAUGCUCGAAAGUGUGGGUAUCAAACAGGAUUAGAUACCCUGGUAGUCCACACAGUAAACGAUGAAUACUCGCUGUUUGCGAUAUACAGUAAGCGGCCAAGCGAAAGCAUUAAGUAUUCCACCUGGGGAGUACGCCGGCAACGGUGAAACUCAAAGGAAUUGGCGGGG
rnacentral:rRNA from 1 species